CAUCGCCCCUUGUGUGCACGCAACAGAAUGGUUUUCCAGUGGACGGAAGCUGGAAGUUCUUAAUUUUUUUGUCUGGUUGUCUUUUCACCUAAGUCACAAGGUGGACCUUCUCUGCUGCAUGACUUUUGGGUUAUCCAAUGCAUGCUCUCCUUGCUUAGCUGUUGGGUCCUGUCUUUUGCCACGGGGAUAACUUUACUGUUUCACUUUAUUAUUUUGUUUAGUCAGGCAUAAUCUUUUUCUCCUCCCCCAUCUCCACCUGGACGUCAUGCAGAGGCUCUUUUGUUUGAAUUUCUGCUUUCUAGACAUCUACCUCCUAAAUUGAGAAAACCUUUCCUUCUCCCUUCAAUUCUUGGACCCCACGAAACUACUUGGCCUCCUUUUGAGGCGGUGGGGGUUGGCCGGAGACACCUUAAGUGACCAUGAAAAUCCUAUCGCUCAACUGCCGGGGAUUUGGACGUACAGCAGUUAGAAGGGAAUUAAGCUCUAUUGUAAGGAGACAUAGACCUGACGUUCUAUUCCUCUCUGAAAUUAAAUUGGUUUCUUGCCCCCUCACUACUAUUUGCAGACGACUUGGUAUGAGCUCGUAUCAUCUCACUCUUGCUAAUCAAUCGAAGGGGAGGAUUAUUACUUUUAUGGUCUUCUAACAUUUCACUGGAGCUACUGUGGAACACCGAAUGGUGUAUGCAUAUGGUGGUUACUCCAGUGAAUGGUCUUCCUCCUUAUUUUCUUACUACAAUUCAUUUACAUCACUUGGGGGCCAUUAGGAAUAGGCAAUGGAAUUCCUUCCGACAACUUCUUCCUUUUAUCUCCCUUCCUUGGGUAUUGGCUGGUGAUUAGAAUUCUAUUCUAUAUCCAUCGGAGAAGAUAGGAGGUCGACCUUGCUCUAUUUCCUAGAUUCAACCUUUUAUUGAUUUUGUUAAUGAUGCAGCUCUCCUCAAUCUACCCUUCAAGGGGCCGCCUUUCACUUGGGAUAAUUGACAAAGGGAUGAACCGUAUAGAGGAAAGACUUGAUCGCUUUCUUAGUGAUUGGCUUGCUUUACAUCCUUCUACCUCUGUUCUGCAUGAACCUGUUGCGGCAUCUGAUCAUAAAGCCAUUCUUCUCAUUGAAGAUGCCACAAAAGGAUUUAGGUGCCAUCCUUUUAGAUUCGAGAACUUUUUGGCUUCUGGAAUCGACAUUCCCCACUGUUGUACAACAAACUUGGAGCCAAGAGGAAAGUGGAUCAGCUUCCUAUAAACUAUCACUCAAAUUAAGGAAGCCGGGUACUAAACGUCGGUGGUGGAAUAAAAAUGUUGUUGGCAAUCUCUCAGAAAAUUAAUCUUCUACGGUCUGAAUUGGGAAAUUUACAAUCCUUCCCUUGUGGACAGCGAAAUUCAAGUUGGUUUGUUGAGGAACGACGUCUUCAGGCUGCUCUCACUGAAUCACUUGCUCAAGCAGAACUACUUUGGGCUCAAAAAUCGAGGUUACAAUGGGUGAGAGAAGGCAAUGCUAACACCUGAUUCUUUCACCUAUCGACGAUUAAGCGAAGGGUUCGGAAUCACAUUCUUUCCCUCAAUCAUCAGGGUUUGAAUAUUACCUCAGAACCUCUUAUUGGUGAAGUUAUCUAAUCGCAUUUUCUGCAAAUAUAUUCCUCCUCCCAUAAUAUUAUUGAAGACACCUAUUUUAAUUACAUUCGCAAUCGGGUUUCUGGAGAGGAUAAUGAUAAACUCAUGGAACCAGUAACUGAUGCAGAGAUUUUGAGUGUCGUUAAAAGCAUGCCUGCUUCUAAAUCACCUGGGCCCGAUGGUUUCUCCGGUGGUUUCUUUCACUCAACCUGGAAUAUUAUUGGAGCUGAAGUAACUGCGGCUAUCGGAGCCUUUUUCUCUUCUGGGACUUUUGCGCGGAAGCUGAAUGAUACUUACAUCACUCUUAUCCCAAAGAUGAUCGUAUUAUUUGGGCACCAACAGCAUCUGGGAAGUUCUCUAUGGCUUCAGCCUAUAGACUUGCUUAUGAUAUAGCACAAGAAAAAAAUCCUUUGUGGCAGAAAUUAUGGCACGUUCCAACCGCCCCAAAAAUAAAGUUUACUCUGUGGAAACUUAUGCACAAUAGACUACCUCUCCCCUCAUUACUUAAUGAUUGGGGAAUGCAUUUGUUGGAUAUCUGCCAUUUUGUACUCAACAUUCAGCCCAGGUUGACCACAUUUUUCUUAAUUGCCCUUGGCCGAAAGCUUUAUGCCAGGCAAAUGGUUUUGGCUCAAUUCUGAUGAGUCAUUUGACCAUUUCAUCAAUGGUUACUUAUAUUUUGCAAUCAAAGACUAUGACACAGCAGUCUUGUUGGUGAGAAGCUCUUAUGGCUACUACAAUUUGGCUGAUUUGGUUAUCUUACAAUGAUCUUGUUCAUUGGCAUUCCUUGCCAGAUUGUUGAAGUAUUCAAUCAAAGUAUUUAUUAAUGGCCAAGGAAUUUUUGCAAGUGAGGAACACCAAUCCAAGACAUACUAAUAUUAUUAACAUUAAAUGGUGUCCUACUGGAGAUAUGGUGAAAGUUAAUAUUGAUGGUGCUGCCAUGGUGCUCCAGGCCAAGCUAGUGCAUGUGGAGUCUUCAAAAACUCUAUGGGGAGGUUCAUUCUGGCUUUUGCUACAUAUUCUGAAACAACGUUUUCUAUUGUGGCUGAAGCAUGUGCUGCCCGGCUUGCUUUGUGUAUUGCUUUGUCCAAGGGCUACCGCAACAUCGUGGUGGAAGGCGAUAACCUUCUCAUCAUUGAGAUCUUGCUAAGAAAGACUGAAUCCAUUCCUUAGCGCAUAAGACCAAUCAUGGACGACUGCCUUCAGCUAUUAUCUCUCUUUGAUCAUAUUUCUUUUCUUCAUACUUACAGAUAAGGAAAUGCUGUCGUCGAUUUCUUGGCUGCCUAUGCUGUCAACUCUAAGUUGUUUGGUUUCUGGGAGUCUUCUCCCCCUUCGAUUGUCUCCUCUUCUUUCUUUUGACUUUUGCGGUGUCGCUACCCCGCAUAUUGUAUCUUCCUUAGUUUGUUAAUAAAGUGCUUCUUAUCAAAAAAAAAAAAAA